CCUGCCGGACCUGACUGCUAUCGGAUUGAUACUAAGCCAUGCGAGUCUUUGUAGUAAUACAAGGCAGACGGCUCAGUAACACGUAGUCAACCUACCCUAUGGACGAGAAUAAUCUCGGGAAACUGAGCAUAAUUCUUGAUAGAUCAUAAUGCCUGGAAUGGUUUAUGGUUAAAAUGAUUCGUCGCCAUAGGAUGGGACUGCGGCCUAUCAGCUUGUUGGUGAGGUAAUGGCCCACCAAGGCGAUUACAGGUACGGGCUCUGAGAGGAGAAGCCCGGAGAUGGGUACUGAGACACGGACCCAGGCCCUAUGGGGCGCAGCAGGCGAGAAAACUUUGCAAUGUGCGAAAGCACGACAAGGUUAAUCCGAGUGAUUUCUGCUAAAGAAAUCUUUUGCCAGUCAUAAAACCACUGGUGAAUAAGGGGUGGGCAAGUUCUGGUGUCAGCCGCCGCGGUAAAACCAGCGCCUCAAGUGGUCAGGAUGAUUAUUGGGCCUAAAGCAUCCGUAGCCGGCUUUGUAAGUUUUCGGUUAAAUCCAUGUGCUCAACGCAUGGGCUGCCGAAAAUACUGCAUGGCUAGGGAGUGGGAGAGGUAGACGGUACUCAGUAGGAAGGGGUAAAAUCCUUUGAUCUAUUGAUGACCACCUGUGGCGAAGGCGGUCUACCAGAACACGUUCGACGGUGAGGGAUGAAAGCUGGGGGAGCAAACCGGAUUAGAUACCCGGGUAGUCCCAGCUGUAAACGAUGCAGACUCGAUGAUGCAUUGGCAUAAUAGCCAGUGCAGUGUCGCGGGGAAGCCGUUAAGUCUGCCGCCUGGGAAGUACGUACGCAAGUAUGAAACUU
rnacentral:rRNA from 1 species